CUGCUGCCUCCCGUAGGAGUUUGGACCGUGUCUCAGUUCCAAUGUGGGGGACCUUCCUCUCAGAACCCCUAUCCAUCGUUGUCUUGGUGGGCCGUUACCCCGUCAACUAACUAAUGGAACGCAUCCCCAUCCCAUACCGAAAUUCUUUAAUAAUCCCAUCAUGCGGUAGGACUAUGACAUCGGGUAUUAAUCUUUCUUUCGAAAGGCUAUCCCCGAGUAUGAGGCAGGUUGGAUACGUGUUACUCACCCGUGCGCCGGUCGCCAUCAAAAGUUUG
rnacentral:rRNA from 1 species